AGAGUUUGAUCAUGGCUCAGGACGAACGCGGGCGGCGUGCUAAUACAUGCAAGUCGUACGCUUCUUUUUCCACCGGAGCUUGCUCCACCGGAAAAAGAAGAGUGGCGAACGGGUGAGUAACACGUGGGUAACCUGCCCAUCAGAAGGGGAUAACACUUGGAAACAGGUGCUAAUACCGUAUAACAAUCGAAACCGCAUGGUUUUGAUUUGAAAGACGCUUUCGGGUGUCGCUGAUGGAUGGACCCGCGGUGCAUUAGCUAGUUGGUGAGGUAACGGCUCACCAAGGCCACGAUGCAUAGCCGGCCUGAGAGGGUGAUCGGCCACAUUGGGACUGAGACACGGCCCAAACUCCUACGGGAGGCAGCAGUAGGGAAUCUUCCACAAUGGACGCAAGUCUGAUGGAGCAACGCCGCGUGAGUGAAGAAGGUUUUCGGAUCGUAAAGCUCUGUUGUUGGUGAAGAAGGAUAGAGGUAGUAACUGGCCUUUAUUUGACGGUAAUCAACCAGAAAGUCACGGCUAACUACGUGCCAGCAGCCGCGGUAAUACGUAGGUGGCAAGCGUUGUCCGGAUUUAUUGGGCGUAAAGCGAGCGCAGGCGGAAAAAUAAGUCUGAUGUGAAAGCCCUCGGCUUAACCGAGGAACUGCAUCGGAAACUGUUUUUCUUGAGUGCAGAAGAGGAGAGUGGAACUCCAUGUGUAGCGGUGGAAUGCGUAGAUAUAUGGAAGAACACCAGUGGCGAAGGCGGCUCUCUGGUCUGCAACUGACGCUGAGGCUCGAAAGCAUGGGUAGCGAACAGGAUUAGAUACCCUGGUAGUCCAUGCCGUAAACGAUGAGUGCUAAGUGUUGGGAGGUUUCCGCCUCUCAGUGCUGCAGCUAACGCAUUAAGCACUCCGCCUGGGGAGUACGACCGCAAGGUUGAAACUCAAAUGAAUUGACGG
rnacentral:rRNA from 1 species